AGAAAAUUGCUUUGAAGCCAAAAUGUGUGGCUGGGGCAUUUCUUCAUUAGACCAAAAUAGUGUUGCCAAAAGGUCCAAGCAGAAUGAAGUUUCUGUACCAAGUUGCUGGUUAGAACGAUCUGUGUGCAACUGGUACUUCGAUGCUUGGGGACCUGGAACUCAGCUGACUGUCACUUCAGCUUCCCCAGCUGCCCCAACUCUUUUCCCUCUCAUUGCUCCUCCUGGGAGCGAGGACAGUGCAACGUCCACCAUCGGGUGCUUGGCCAAGAAUUUCCUUCCUGACUCGAUCACUUUCUCCUGGAACAAUAAGAACAAUGUCAGCGACAGUAAAAUCACGACCAAGAACUUUCCUUCAGCACUCCUCACCGGUGGGACUUACAUCGCAAGUUCCCAGGCGCUCGUCCCAUCUGCUGACUGGAUGAACUUUGAUCCAUUUUACUGCAAGGCUGACCACCCUUCUGGAAAUGCAGUGGUACGAGUGGUCCGUAGCAGUGAAACACCAGUCGAACGGCCUAAACCUGAGAUGUCUGUACAUGCACCGCCCAUUCAAGCCUUUUUUGGCAGUUACCUGAAUGCCACCAUCACCUGCAGUGUAGUUAACCUUCCCUCCAGCAAGUACACACUUCAGUGGCUGAAGAAGGAACAGGUACUUGACUCUGGCUUCACCACCACCCAGCCAAACCGAGAGGGCAGUGGUUACAGCAUAAAGAGUAAACUCAUAGUCACCAAGAAAGACUGGCUCAGCGACAUUUCCUUCUCUUGUGCGGUGAAUGGCAAGGACUUCAAUGACACACUGAAGAUCAACAGGCACUCUUUUUGUCAAGGUGAGCUUCAAUGUUCUUUUAUGAGAAAUCUGACCAUUCAGAAUGAGAGUGACGUGCCUUGUGAUGAGGGUGUCCGUGUGGAAACGAUCCCACCAUCCUACGCUGACAUCUUCCAGACCAAGUCAGCCAAGCUGACCUGCAGAAUUUCGAACGUACCUUAUGAACAGGAUCUUUCAGCACUGAAUGUUACCUGGACAAAAGUAUCUGACAAAACACUACUGAAGACCGUACUUGGAAAGCGAGAAGAUCAGGCUAACGGGCUUACUUACAUUGACGCUACAGCCACCGUGUGCGCCACAGAAUGGGACAGCCAUCAAACGUUCACGUGCAAAGUUAAUUUCCCGGGCUUACUUCCUGAACCUGUCGACAAAACUUUGGAAAAGUUUCAUGGUGGCACCCCAUAUAGCCCAGCCAUCUACGUCCUUCCCCCUACCCCAGAAGAACUAGCUCUGCGAGAAACAGCCACCAUCGCUUGCCUAGUGAAAAAUUUCUACCCCGAAGAUAUCUUUGUGCAGUGGCUCCACAAUGAUCAGCCAGUGAAUCCUGCAAAUUCCUACACCAGUGAACCCAAAGAAGAGCCCAAGAUGCAAGGAAGGUUCUUCGUCUAUAGCAUAUUGUCCAUCAGUGAAAGCGACUGGAGUCAUGGAGACAAAUACACUUGUGUCGUGGGACAUGAGGCACUGCCCCUGAACAGCACUCAGAAGACCGUGGACAAGAACACGGUUUACCUAGAUGGGAUCGUGGACACCGACGAUGAGGAAUUCCAAAACAUCUCGUCCAUCCUUUCCACUUUCAUCAUCCUUUUUCUCGUGAGCCUGUUCUACAGUGCCACUGUGACCGUCAUAAAGGUGAAAUAGCAGCGUGAAGGGUCUUCUGGCAACAGACAGUGACUUCUGUAUUCACCAGCAACAUAAUAAAGGACUUCUUCGUCCACUUUUGGAGGAAAAAGAAGGAUGCAUUGGGGCAGGGUUGCCUUUCCAUCUUGCUUUGAAUCAUGACCUCAGGAUACACAUUGGCUUUAACUAGAUUUAGACCCACUGUUUACAUUUUUGAGCUAUGAUGCAAUUUUGCUUCACUUUUCUGAGUGCAUAUGUGUGUUUCCCCAGCAUCUCUUUGGUAGUCAUGUUUCAUUUCAGCUAUAGUUGUAUACCUGGUCGAAAGCCUUAAUGUGAAUAUUGCACUUUUAACUUUCAACAAACAGAGAAUCAUUGCACAAUAUGUACCGACUAGAAUGUUUCUCAUUUAUAUCAUGAUUGCUAUAUAAUACUGCAAUAAAGAUAUAUUCUUCACUGA